rnacentral:rRNA from 1 species
GAUGAACGCUGGCGGCGUGCCUAAUACAUGCAAGUCGAGCGAACAGAUGAGGAGCUUGCUCCUCUGACGUUAGCGGCGGACGGGUGAGUAACACGUGGAUAACCUACCUAUAAGACUGGGAUAACUUCGGGAAACCGGAGCUAAUACCGGAUAAUAUAUUGAACCGCAUGGUUCAAUAGUGAAAGACGGUUUUGCUGUCACUUAUAGAUGGAUCCGCGCCGCAUUAGCUAGUUGGUAAGGUAACGGCUUACCAAGGCAACGAUGCGUAGCCGACCUGAGAGGGGGAUCGGCCACCCGGGAACGGAGAACCGGCCCAGCCCCCUAGGGGGGGCAGCAGUGGGGAAUUUUCCGAAAUGGGCGAAAGCCUGACGGAGCAACGCCGCGUGAGUGAUGAAGGCUUUCGGAUCGUAAACCCCUUUUAUUGGGGAAAAAAAAAUGUGUAAGUAACUAUGCACGUUUUGACGGUACCAAAUAAGAAAGCCACGGCUAACUACGU